rnacentral:rRNA from 1 species
ACACGUAGGUAACCUGCCCAUGUGCCCGGGAUAACUUCUGGAAACGGAUGCUAAAACCGGAUAGGUAGCAGACAAGCAUUUGACUGCUAUUAAAGUGGCUAAGGCCAUGAACAUGGAUGGACCUGCGGUGCAUUAGCUAGUUGGUGAGGUAACGGCCCACUAAGGCGACGAUGCAUAGCCGGCCUGAGAGGGCGGACGGCCACAUUGGGACUGAGACACGGCCCAGACUCCUACGGGAGGCAGCAUG